GAUGAAGAACGCAGCGAAAUGCGAUAAGUAAUGUGAAUUGCAGAUUUCAGUGAAUCAUCGAAUCUUUGAACGCACCUUGCGCCUUGUGGUAUUCCACAAGGCAUGCCCGUUUGAGUAUCAUUAAAUCAUCAACUCUAAAACCUUUGUGGUGUUUUUAGAGCUUGGUCUUGAGGGUGUUGCAGGCUUUUUUUUCUAGUCUGCUCCCUUUAAAUGCAUUAGCGAGACUUCCCUAUGCUGAACCGUCUCUUUGACGUGAUAAUUAUCUGCGUCGAAUUUUGGUUCUCGUUGGGCUUGCUUCUAAUCGUCUGUUAAAGACAAAACGGAUUUGGGUGCAUAUAUGCGCCUUUUUCCAAAACCUUUUUUGAUCUCAAAUCGGGUAGGACUACCCGCUGAACUUAAGCAUAUCAAUAAGCGGAGGA
rnacentral:misc_RNA from 1 species